UAAGAUUUGGUGGCAGGUUUGUCAAAGAGAAAUGGUUAAAGCCUUGGCUUUGUUGAACAAACUUUUUGACGGAUCUUUUGUGAAUCUUCAUUAUGUCUAAAGCAUGUGGAGUUGCUUGAAGAUGAGUUGUCAGCACAUGCACGAGCUUAGCCGAAAAUGGUGGACAACUUUCAGAUGGCCUUGGAUCCUUGCUUGUAACCCCGACGUUUGAAGAACUAUAUGAUGAGCAGGACAGCGGCGACACCUAGAUGUGCUUUGCAACUUGUUUUGGAUUCGCAUUUUGUAGCAUCUUGAAGAUCAUGCUUCUUGGCUUGCAUUUCAUUGUAUUUUGUAUAUGAU